ensembl:lncRNA
CGGCGGAAGGGACACAGUGCCCGGGAGUUGGACAGCCGCUGCGGCUCCCCCGAGGAGGGCAGUGGGGCCAGGGCAGGAGUGUUGGAACAACCCCGGACCGCUCUGCGACCAAAGCAAGAAACGUGCCACUGACCACCGUGCGCCCCCACGCCAGGACAGCCUCGGAGUCAGAAAGCCACGCGUCCUCCCCACCGACCCCGAGCCGGACGCACGCCUACUCCCGGGAUCCCGAGGGAGGUCCCGAGUUUCCUGGAGGAGGAAAACGGACAUUCAAAGAGGCGAAGAAACGCGUCCAAGAGGUUUUGACCCUAUUGCUCGGUGCCGUUUCUCCUUUAUCACCAUGGAAAUGUUCACUGAGGUUAUUAGCUGGUUGUGGAAGGCUUUUGAGGAGGUACCUGAUUAAAGGGAAGAAAACUUUUUCACUAAUAACACACUGGCCUCAUCUAACUCCCUGCAUCUUUAAUUAAUGUUUACAAACACUUUAAUCUACCCCACUUACUACUUAAUUAGGCAAGUAUUAUUACCCCCUCUUUCUGAACCAAAUCCAGAAGAGACUUAAGUCCUUAAUCCUCCUUAAAUAAUGCACCUAAGCUUUCUGUCCAUGUUCUUUUUAUUUCCUCUUUUGUACCAUAUUGUUAAACGUUAAUGUAUUUAUCAUUUAUUGGCUUAGUAAAAAAGAUAUUAAAUAGCCACGGGUGGGAGGUAAUAUAGGCAACCUCUAUCUUUCAUAAAUUCAGAUUUUAAACAGACAUUAUGAUAAGUGCUUCCCAGAAUUUUUCUUUUCCUCUUUACUGGUGGUUGUUUUUCUUAGCUUGGUUAAACUUUUAUUAUGCAUAUGCAUAUGCUUAACUUAGUUAUUAUAAAGUACACAUUAUGUUGUGCAUACAAAUUAAAUUUUACAUGGUAUCUUCUUCCAGGUGAAGAGGAAAUAUAAGGAGGAAGAAACUGAAGGAUGAUGGGAUUAGGAAGGAAGAAAGGGAAAAGAAAAAGGCAAACAAGAAAAGGUGGGAAGGGAGCAAGAAAUGAACAGGGAGAAAAUGAGACAGAUUUCAACCAAGGCAGUAGGGGAUGAAGGCAGCCCUGCUAACUGGGACCCGAGCCUUGUGGGAAUUUCAAGCAGGCUGCCCUUCUUUGGGGCUGGUGCAGAACUGGCCAGGGCCCAGCAUGAGUACCUGAGUCCUCUGCACCCCUGUCCACAUACCUCUGUCCCAACUGAACAUACCCAAAGGUGUUAGAUGGUGAGAAAGGAUACAAAAUGAAGAAAGCAAAAAAUGGGUUAGAGGGGGAAUUUAAAGAUUCUUAAAAGUACUUUUUUUUUUGUAUUUAAAAGUACUUGGGUAACAUCAAUGGAGAAAAGAGCAAAGAAACAUCUGGAGGGUUGUGGAUAUGCAAUUUUUACUACUUUAAAAUCUUUGAUACUGACGAAACUUUGCUUUCUGUUCACUUGACUUUUUACUGAAUUCUUUUGAGGCUGGUCUUUGCUAAGAAAAUACCGAUGAUACACGGCCCCAAAUAUUAGACGAUUAUUCUUAUUACCUUUGUGUAAGUUAACAACUUUUAAGUAAACUUUAAAACUGUAAGCUAAUAAUUUUUCUUGUAUUAAAAUGAGUACUGUGUGAAUUGGCUUGAGAAACUGCAAUAUCUGUAAUGACCACGAGAGGGAGGUAGAUGGGAAAUGGGAAAGAACAGAAAAUAAAUUUCAAGAGUUUUCUUUACUAAAAAAUUAUAGUAUUUUAGAGCUAAAAGGGGAGAUAUCAAAAGACAUGAUUCUCCUUCUCUCUCUCUCUCCUUUUUUUUUUUUGGCUGCACUGUGCGGCUUGCAAGGAUCAUAUUUCUCCUACCAGGAUUGAACUCGGGCCUGGCAGUGGGAACACCAAAUCCUAACAACUGGACCACCAGCAGGGAAUUCUCCAAAAGACAUGUUUUUGAUUUAUGCCUCUUCCAUUUAGAAUAUGUGUAAACUUGAACUAUGUCUUCCUUUUGAGACUCAGUUUCUUACUUGUAUGAUGAAGCUAUUAAACCUACUUUAGGAGGCUAAAACGAAAUUAUUUUAAAAUUUACUUGAACAAGUAGCAGAUGAAAAAUGUUAAGAAAAUAAUGAAAGUGAAGAAAAAUACUGGAAAUUUCCCCACUUGGUAGUUAAACAUAGUGUAAAUAAUAAAGUGAAUGUUAGCAUACAGGAAGGAGAAGGCAACGGCAGUUGUCAGUACUCUUGCCUGGAAAAUCCCAUGGGCGGAGGAGCCUGCCUAGUACGCUGCAGUCCAUAGGGUCGCGAAGAGUCAGACUCGACUGAAGCGACUUAGCAGCAGCAGCAGCAGCAGCAUAUAGAAAUAGAAUGGUAGUAUAUAUUGAAUGAUAUAGAUAAUAAAAUGGAGUAAAUAACCCAGAAAAAGACACUGGGUCAAUAUAGUGUAGAUUUUAAUAUGUGAUGGAGUCAUCUAAAAUAAAUAAAAAAGGGACAGAUCCUCAAUAAAUGGACUUAAGAAGACUAGUAAUUUGAAAAAAAAUCAAGUUGAGCUCAUACCUUUCAUUAUGUGUUAAAAGAAAAUUCAGCUACAUUAAAGAACUGUAAAACUAGAAAAUUUAGGCAAAUAUUCAUGUAACCUCAAGAUGAGGGAAUAAAAGAAAUGAAAAAAUCAUAAAGGAAAUGACCAGUAGACUACAUUACAUGAGAGUUUUAAAAUUUUGACAACUAAGUAAAAAUAUUGUAAGCAAAAUUUGAAAAGAGAAAAAAACUUACAAAACUAUAGAAAUCAAAUCUGGCAGUUCAUUUCAUCCUCAAUACAAGAGUACACACAAUAUCUGAUUCAGAUUUAUGAAAUCAA